GGAAAGACCAUAGCUCAGUGGUAGAGCGUCUGCUUCGCACACAGAAGGUCCCAGGUUCAAACCCUGGCAUCUCCA